ensembl:lncRNA
UUUUUAAUAAGAUUAUAUGUUAAUUAACUUUCACAUGAUGAUAAUGAGGUGGGGGGGGUCAAAUUCCACGUCACACCUGGUUCAGAUUAGGGGCGGUGAGUUCGCUCGAACUAAAGUGUCUUUUAGCGAUUGUCGGGCUUCGUUCUUCGGGGUGUGUGUGUGUGUGUGUGUGUGUGUGUGUGUGUGUGUGUGUGUGUGUGUGUGUGUGUGUGUGUGUGUGUGUGUGUGUGUGUGUGUGUGUGUGUGUGUGUGUGUGUGUGUGUGUGUGUGUGUGUGUGUGUGCUUAAUGAGGCAUUGUGCGCGAGCCGCCGACGUACGACGUACAACGGUGUCGUCUCAGCCCGUGACGCGCGCGCCAAGGCAAACACUUUGCUGCUCGCUCUCCACUGGCCCGCGCGCGCCCGUCGCCCCGCCCACUCCUCUUUCACUGCAGCUAAUGACGUCAAGAGAUGCUUGCGUCAAUGCUCCCGCUUUGACAGAGGGCUUUCUCUUUUUUUUUUUCCCCGACCGGAUCAUAAUGGGAUUAUUAGACUCGGAGAAAUAACCCCAGCCUUCAAGGCUUUUCAGAUUUUUUUAAGUGUGCCAUUAUCGCGUAUAUUAUUCUUACGUUAUAGGUUUUUUAUUUCUAAGAGAGCAAAUAAAUAAACAAAACAUUACUAACACCCUCUGUAGUGUAGCCUGUUUAUAAUUCAGCAGUAAAUAUAUAACCUAUAAUGUCAUAUAUAUAUCAAAAUAUUACGUCUAUUUAUGUCUACAUUAUAUAUCUUUAAUUGAUCACAUAUGGCGUCUAGUCUAUCAAGGAGAACAUCGCCCCUCCGAUUGAGCAAGACAUUGCUUCAGGAACACUCCUGAAUUUGAUCUUCUUUAACCCAUGGAGUGUCAUCAUCACAUCGCUGAAGGAGCCCAGUAUUUACCCUGCAGGAGCACAGAGUCCCCCAGCCACUCUAGACACACACACGUCCAGACGCAGGGGGCCGCUGCCCGCGUCACAACGCUCACGCAGACGUCGCCCGCGGCUACGUCAUGGACGAGGAUGAGGCGUCAUGCGUCGUGAGUGGAGGCUACCGACGCGUUUCGGUAAUCACUCCCAUGGAGCCGUUGACAAGAGGCCAGCUCUCUGAAGACGAGAGGCUGGAGGUCUGGAGGUCGAGGUAGCUCCGGCGUGCGUCACAACGCGCUACCGCAGACGGCGAGACAGAGAACGUAUUCGUGUCAACGUUCAAUGGGAAUUUAAUGAUCUAGGGUGAAACACACCCUUUGUUUACACUUACUUGAUUGAAUGUAGUACCUGAAUUGGAGAUACUACACAAACCCUUUCUAAUCUGUGGUUACUGUGUGCGUGUGUGUGUGUGCGUGUCUGUGUGUGUGUCUGUGGGCGUCGGCCUGUUUGUGUGUGUGUGUGUGUGUGUGUGUGUGUGUGUGUGUGUGUGUGUGUGUGUGUGUGUGUGUGUGUGUGUGUGUGUGUCUGGGUGCAUGCGUGUGCUUGUCUGUGUGUGUGUUUGUACAAGGGGAGAAAGUAAUCAUGUCUUUUAUACACUGAGCUUGAUCUCUGCUGUUGAAACCUCCUCCUGUUUAAACAUACGUGAAUACCCAAUUCCUGAAUAGUCUUGUAAUGUGGAUCCUGGUGUCUGACUAAAGUCUAGAUUCCCAGGGGGGAACAUAACAUGACAAAAAGAGAGUUUCCAAAAUAAAAGUUUGUGUAAGAUAUUGAUUAUAAUAGGCUACAUUCACACAGAUGAUUUAUAUUGUCUGUUUUGGGGACUGAUUCUCACUCUGUUUUUUUCGGUUGCCUCAUGUUGCUAGAAGCUGAGGAGAUGUACAGAGUAAAGACUUUAACUCUGC